CUGGGCAAAUAUAUUAUGUACUGGGGCAAAUAUUUCCUGGGGAGAAUAGGGCACUUGGGGGUAAAUCAGCGGCCACAGAGGCUGAGGAAAAAAUGCACCAAAUGCUCUCCUACAGCUCUGGUGCAACCCGACAUGCAACGUCCAUGAAAUAAUCACCAGGGCAGUACCUGCUGCCACUGCUUUCCUUUAGGAAGCACUUACAGCACCUGUUGUCUUCCAAAUGCCAGGCACCAGCAAUCAAGACCACACACAUAACUACAUAAUUGGAGCUUGCUCAUUAAUCUUCCUCCUUCUGCUGUUCCUGGUCUUCUGCGUUUGGCGCUGGGUGCAGAAGAAGAAGAUGAGAAUCGUUAAACAACAGCAGGAGCCCCCCGAGGAUAACACUGCGGCGGGGGAAAUAACAACUAUUUAUUCCAGAGUCGGAGACAGCUUUGAACAUCCAGGGCUGAGAGAAUCAGCACAGGUCAUCUACUCAUCCAUAACCUCCCUCAAUUCCUGAG